GCCGAGGUAGCUCAGCCUGGUAGAGCACGGCACUGAAAAUGCCGGUGUCGGUGGUUCGAAUCCGCCCCUCGGCA
rnacentral:tRNA from 1 species